rnacentral:misc_RNA from 1 species
GAAAUGCGAUAAUUAAUGUGAAUUGCAGAAUUCAGUGAAUCAUCGAGUCUUUGAACGCACAUUGCGCCCCCUGGUAUUCCGGGCGGCAUGCCUGUCCGAGCGUCAUUGCUGCCCUCAAGCACGGCUUGUGUGUUGGGCUUCCGUCCCUGGCAACGGGGACGGGCCCAAAAGGCAGUGGCGGCACCAUGUCUGGUCCUCGAGCGUAUGGGGCUUUGUCACCCGCUCCCGUAGGUCCAGCUGGCAGCUAGCCUCGCAACCAAUCUUUUUAACCAGGUUGACCUCGGAUCAGGUAGGGAUACCCGCUGAACUUAAGC